AUUAAUUGUAACACUAGCUUUACACUGCUAGUAGAGAAAGUUAGAAGGUAUUUUACCUAUGCUGAAAAAUGUGUCUAAGCAGAAAUAGCUGGUUAAAUAAUGACUGUUCCUAUAUCUAUAGGUAGGAUUUUUCCUA